rnacentral:rRNA from 1 species
UACGUAGGGAGCAAGCGUUGUCCGGAAUCAUUGGGCGUAAAGAGCGCGUAGGUGGCUUUAUAAGUCCGUUGUGAAAGUCAAAGGCUCAACCUUUGAAAGCCGAUGGAUACUGUGAAGCUAGAGUACGGAAGAGGCGACUGGAAUUCUUGGUGUAGCAGUGAAAUGCGUAGAUAUCAAGAGGAACACCAGUGGCGAAGGCGAGUCCCUGGACAAUACCUGACACUGAGGCACGAAAGCUAGGGGAGCAAACAGG